GGACGACCGUCGAGACCUCCCCUACGCGCAGUUCUUACCGAUAAAGGAGAUAAUCCUAGCAAACCGGUUCGCUGGUGCCGAACUACUGUACCAAGACGAUUUGGCCAUCAUAAGAGUUUCCGGGAAAUUUUUAUUUCGACCAUACGUCAGACCGGUCUGUGUGGACUUCUUGCCAAAGUUCAACGAGUUCCAACUGCGUCCUGGAAAUAAAGGAAAGGUGGCGGGAUUUGGUCUCACCAGCGACCAGCGAGAAUCGGAGUCAGCUGAGCUGAAG
rnacentral:misc_RNA from 1 species